rnacentral:lncRNA from 1 species
UGUGAGCUCUUGUUACCAGGCAACACAAAAUCUGUAACCUGAAACCCAGCAAGCAUGUAAAUUCCCUUACAAGCCUCCCAGAUGUCCUCACUUCAGGGCCAACAGCUCAGUUUCAGUUUCAAUUUGUUUAUUUACCCUUCUCCAGUCACCAAUGUGGAGCUAAGAAUGCUGGGAGAGAGAGGAGAAAGCAAAGGAAAACGGGAGAAGGAAGGGUUGUGCUGUCUGCACCUAGGUAACAGCCAACAGGACAGGACUGAGGAGCUGGGCCUUCUGCAGAGUUUCUGUGCUGACAUAUGGCAGUCAGGGUCAAGAAGAAGUUCCGUACUCAAGAAUAGGAUUCAGUAUCAGAAGGGCCAAGAAGGAAUCUAAAGCUGAACAGCACAACACUGUCCCUGCAUCUGACGUUUCAGCUCUUCUCAGUGAACUGUUUCCUGUAGGAGGGAGAAAGAUUACAACUUUGAAGUGAAUACCAAGCAGUAUUCUGCUGAUAUGAAGAUAAUGUAUGUACACAUAUAAAUCAUCAUGACAGUAAUGAACGGUUCCUAGAGACUGGCAGGGCCUCGGGGAGUCAUCCAUUCCAUUACUAACAAUUUUCAAACCACUCUAGAACUUAGCUGUCUGCUGUGCCUUGGAAAGUUCCUGAUGCUAUCAGAAUAGAACAGAAGUAGAAUAGUUUAAAUUUCAUACAGAGUUUAUUUUUUCCCCAGAAAGUAUAGUUCUUAUACAACUCCAACCAAGAAAGAAAAGUCCCCUUCAAGGACCUUGUCUCCAUGCUGGGCCAAUAAACUCAGUGAUCCCCAAGAGGACACUGAAUAAGAGAAGAGAUCUGCAGAUAUCUUAUUCACUCACAGUCUUGGCUUGAGGAUGGGGUGGCCCAACCUGCCGUCAAAAGCAUGUUAUUGACAUGAAAACAACUUUGCACUUUUUCUCUAUAGAAUUUAGCAGCCCUCUGUUUCUGCCCAAGAUUGCUUGUUUUUAUAAGAAGGUUGGGAGAGAGGAAGAAAAGACAGGUUGUCAUUGAGUUCCACGGA